rnacentral:rRNA from 1 species
AGUGAACGCUGGCGGUAGGCCUAACACAUGCAAGUCGAACGGAAGCACAGUAAGAGCUUGCUCUUACGGGUGGCGAGUGGCGGACGGGUGAGGAAUACAUCGGAAUCUACUUUUUCGUGGGGGAUAACGUAGGGAAACUUACGCUAAUACCGCAUACGACCUACGGGUGAAAGCAGGGGAUCUUCGGACCUUGCGCGAUUGAAUGAGCCGAUGUCGGAUUAGCUAGUUGGCGGGGUAAAGGCCCACCAAGGCGACGAUCCGUAGCUGGUCUGAGAGGAUGAUCGGCGACACUGGAACUGAGACACGGUCCAGACUCCUACGAGAGGCAGCAGUGGGGAAUAUUGGACAGAGGGCGCAAGCCUGAUCCAGCCAUACCGCGUGGGUGAAGAAGGCCUUCGGGUUGUGAAGCCCUUUUGUUGGGAGAGAAAAGCAGCAGGUUAAUACCCCGCGGUACUGACGGUACCCAAAGAAGAAGCACCGGCUAACUUCGUG